ACCAGGUGUGGUGGUGCAUGCCUGUAAUCCCAGCAGCUCUGGAGGCUGAGGCAGGAAGAUCAUAAGUUUGAAGCCUGCCUCAGCAAAAGGAAGGCACUAAGCAACUCAGUUGAGACCCUGUCUCUA
rnacentral:sRNA from 1 species